rnacentral:lncRNA from 1 species
GCCAUAGGCUACUUCAGUAAAGAGAACAUACAGGGAUAAGCAGUCAAUAACGGUUGUUUAUUCAAGUCCUUUGUUGAAACAUAAGUUAACAGAAACUGUUAGUAAGACUAAUAUUAACCAGUGACUGUGUAAAAAGGCGUGUCAAGGCAUUUCUUUCAUGUGUUUUUGUGUGGGAUUGCCAGACUAUGUAAAAUGCAACUUCCACAAGAGAGCUGCCAUUCUCAUGUUGACAAUGGAAACUCUUUAAGACUAUUUGAAGUUUUACUUCCAAAGCACAUCCAUCCACUUCGCCUCCCAGAAAAACAUUCACCUGUUAAAGACUAAGGGAUAUGGGUGUUCUAAACAAAAUGUCUUUCUGACCAUUUCUACACAGUACUGACACAUUACUGAAAUGAUGCCUAGUGACAAAGUCAUCAAUAAUACAUGAAGAAUCAGUUGGAACAGAACAGGGGGUUAUUAGUUAUUACAGCAGCCCAGGAAGGAGGUAUGUUUUAUUACAGCAGCCCAGGAAGGAGGUACGUUUUAUUACAGCAGCCCAGGAAGGAGGUACGUUUUAUUACAGCAGCCCAGGAAGGAGGUAUGUUUUAUUACAGCAGCCCAGGAAGGAGGUACGUUUUAUUACAGCAGCCCAGGAAGGAGGUAUGUUUUAUUACAGCAGCCCAGGAAGGAGGUACGUUUUAUUACAGCAGCCCAGGAAGGAGGUACGUUUUAUUACAGCAGCCCAGGAA